rnacentral:rRNA from 1 species
GUCCAGACUCCUACGGGAGGCAGCAGUGAGGAAUAUUGGUCAAUGGGCUUACGCCUGAACCAGCCAAGUCGCGUGAGGGAAGACUGCCCUAUGGGUUGUAAACCUCUUUUGUCAGGGAGCAAUUGGCGCUACGUGUAGCGUUAUCGAGAGUACCUGAAGAAAAAGCAUCGGCUAACUCCGUGCCAGCAGCCGCGGUAAUACGGAGGGUGCGAGCGUUAUCCGGAUUUAUUGGGUUUAAAGGGUGCGUAGGCGGAGGGCCAAGUCGGCGGUAAAAUCGCGGGGCUCAACCUCGCUCCGCCGUUGAAACUGGCGUUCUUGAGUGGGCGAGAAGUAUGCGGAAUGCGUGGUGUAGCGGUGAAAUGCAUAGAUAUCGCGCAGAACUCCGAUUGCGAAGGCAGCAUGCCGGCUCCACACUGACGCUGAGGCACGAAAGCGUGGGUAUCGAACAGGAUUAGAUACCCUGGUAAC